rfam:Picea glauca, whole genome shotgun sequence.
GGGUGCGGUCAUACCAGCAUUAAUGCACCAGAUCCCAUCAAAACUUCACAGUUAAGCAUUGUUGGGCUAGAGUAGUACUAGGAUGGGUGACCUCUCUGGAAGUCCUAGUGUUUCACACU